rnacentral:rRNA from 1 species
AGCAGUAGCCGCGGGAAUACGUAGGUCCCGAGCGUUGUCCGGAUUUAUUGGGCGUAAAGCGAGCGCAGGCGGUUUGAUAAGUCUGGAGUUAAAGGCUGUGGCUCAACCAUAGUUCGCUUUGGAAACUGUCAAACUUGAGUGCAGAAGGGGAGAGUGGAAUUCCAUGUGUAGCGGUGAAAUGCGUAGAUAUAUGGAGGAACACCGGUGGCGAAAGCGGCUCUCUGGUCUGUAACUGACGCUGAGGCUCGAAAGCGUGGGGAGCGAACAGGAUUAGAUACCCCAGUAGUCCCUGUCUCUUAUACA